UCCCAGUUCGGAUUGUAGUCUGCAACCCGACUACAUGAAGCUGGAAUCGCUAGUAGUCGCGAAUCAGAAUGUCGCGGUGAAUACGUUCCCGGGUCUUGUACACACCGCCCGUCACACCAUGGGAGUCGGAAAUGCCCAAAGUCAGUGACCUAACCGAAAGGGAGGAGCUGCCGAAGGUGGAGCCGGUAACUGGGGUGAAGUCGUAACAAGGUAGC
rnacentral:rRNA from 1 species